ACGGGUGAGUAACACGUAGAUAACCUGCCCUCAAGACGGGGACAACCGGUGGAAACAGCGGCUAAUACCCGAUAUGCUCACAGGAUCGGGAGAUCGAGUGAGGAAAGGCUUCGGUGCUUGAGGAGGGAUCUGCGGCCCAUCAGCUAGUUGGUGAGGUAACGGCUCACCAAGGCGAAGACGGGUAGGGGGUGUGAGAGCAUGGCCCCCCACAAUGGGACUGAGACACGGCCCAUACUCCUACGGGAGGCAGCAGCGGGGAAUAUUGCGCAAUGGACGGAAGUCAGACGCAGCGACGCCGCGUGGGUGAGGAAGGCCUUCGGGUUGUAAAGCCCUUUUCAGGGGAGCGAGAAAGGACGGUACCCUUGGAAUAAGCGUCGGCUAACUACGUGCCAGCAGCCGCGGUAAGACGUAGGACGCAAGCGUUAUCCGGAUUUACUGGGCGUAAAGCGCCUGUAGGCGGUCAAGUAAGUCGGAUGUGAAGGCCCCGUGCUCAACGCGGGGAAGCCAUUCGAUACUGCGUGACUAGAGAACGGCAGAGGGAAACGGAAUUUCUGGUGUAGCGGUAAAAUGCGCAGAGAUCAGAAAGAACACCGAUGGCGAAGGCAGUUUCCUAGGCCGCAUCUGACGCUGAGAGGCGAAAGCUAGGGGAGCAAACAGGAUUAGAGACCCUGGUAGUCCUAGCUGUAAACGAUGGAUGCUAGGUGUGGGCCGGAAAGGUCCGUGCCGUAGUUAACGCGAUAAGCAUCCCGCCUGGGGAGUACGGCCGCAAGGCUAAAACUCAAACGAAUUGACGGGGACCCGCACAAGCAGCGGAGCGUGUGGUUUAAUUCGAUGCUACACGCAGAACCUUACCUGGGCUUGACAUGUAGGUGGUAGUGAAGUGAAAGCGGAGCGACCCUUCGGGGAGCCUACACAGGUGCUGCAUGGCUGUCGUCAGCUCGUGCCGUGAGGUGUCGGGUUAAGUCCUGUAACGAGAGCAACCCUUUUCGUUAGUUACAAGUGUCUAAGGAGACUGCCGGUGACAAACCGGAGGAAGGUGGGGACGACGUCAAGUCAGCAUGGCCCUUAUGUCCAGGGAGACACACUCGCUUCAAUGGUGGGU
rnacentral:rRNA from 1 species